GAACUGCCCUAGCAUCAUUGUCAAAACCCAAUUGACUAGGUUCUAUCAUCAGGGACCUUUUAGAAUCAACUUGUCAAUUUCUGGAAAAAAGCCAAUGAAAACUAUUUGACCAUGAUUUCAUUGAAUCUCUAGGGACAUUUUUGAAGGAAGACUUGGCUGGGAAAAUUUGACUUAGAAGAACUUAGUGAUGUCUCGCAAAUAAGACAGAAGCAUUCGGUUUCGGAGCUAUCUCUUUAGAGUUAGGCUGAGGUAGCCACACAGUUCUUAGCUUAUAAAUCCCAGACA